UGACGAGUGGCGGACGGGUGAGUAAUGCUUGGGAACUUGCCUUUGCGAGGGGGAUAACAGUUGGAAACGACUGCUAAUACCGCAUAAUGUCUACGGACCAAACGGGGCUUAGGCUCCGGCGCAAAGAGAGGCCCAAGUGAGAUUAGCUAGAUGGUGAGGUAAAGGCUCACCAUGGCAACGAUCUCUAGCUGUUCUGAGAGGAAGAUCAGCCACACUGGGACUGAGACACGGCCCAGACUCCUACGGGAGGCAGCAGUGGGGAAUAUUGCACAAUGGGGGAAACCCUGAUGCAGCCAUGCCGCGUGUGUGAAGAAGGCCUUCGGGUUGUAAAGCACUUUCAGUUGUGAGGAAAGGGUGUUGGUUAAUACCCAAUAUCUGUGACGUUAACAACAGAAGAAGCACCGGCUAACUCCGUGCCAGCAGCCGCGGUAAUACGGAGGGUGCGAGCGUUAAUCGGAAUUACUGGGCGUAAAGCGCACGCAGGCGGUUUGUUAAGCUAGAUGUGAAAGCCCCGGGCUCAACCUGGGACGGUCAUUUACAACUGGCAGACUAGAGUCUUGGAGAGGGGAGUGGAAUUCCAGGUGUAGCGGUGAAAUGCGUAGAUAUCUGGAGGAACAUCAGUGGCGAAGGCGACUCCCUGGCCGAAGACUGACGCUCAUGUGCGAAAGUGUGGGUAGCGAACAGGAUUAGAUACCCUGGUAGUCCACACCGUAAACGCUGUCUACUAGCUGUGUGUGAAUUUAAUUCGUGCGUAGCGAAGCUAACGCGCUAAGUAGACCGCCUGGGGAGUACGGCCGCAAGGUUAAAACUCAGAUGAAUUGACGGGGGCCCGCACAAGCGGUG
rnacentral:rRNA from 1 species